AGAACGAACGCUGGCGGCAUGCCUAAUACAUGCAAGUCGAACGAACUCUUCGGAGUUAGUGGCGCACGGGUGCGUAACGCGUGGGAAUCUGCCCUUGGGUUCGGAAUAACAGUUGGAAACGACUGCUAAUACCGGAUGAUGACGAAAGUCCAAAGAUUUAUCGCCCAGGGAUGAGCCCGCGUAGGAUUAGCUAGUUGGUGAGGUAAAGGCUCACCAAGGCGACGAUCCUUAGCUGGUCUGAGAGGAUGAUCAGCCACACUGGGACUGAGACACGGCCCAGACUCCUACGGGAGGCAGCAGUAGGGAAUAUGGACAAUGGGCGAAAGCCUGAUCCAGCAAUGCCGCGUGAGUGAUGAAGGCCUUAGGGUUGUAAGUCUCUUUUACCGAGAUGAUAAUGACAGUAUCGGAAGAAUACGCCCGGACUAACUCCGCGCCGAGCAGCCGCGGU
rnacentral:rRNA from 1 species